UCCAUGCCUGCCCUGGAGAAGAAAGCCAUAAAGCCAGGGGAGGCUCGCAGUAAUAGCUGCUGCUAUUUCAGAAGCUCAAGGGUGAAAAUUUCAGGGACGCUGUGCAAUGGGAUGUAAUUUAUAGGGUACCUCGUGAACCUCAGGAGCUCAGGUUCCGGGGCUCUCCACUGUCCCAUCAGCUCACUUCAGUUCAGUCCAAUUAAGCAGACAGCCAUAAUUCCUAAGAACAAGGUUACUCAUGUUAUGAAGAUCCCUCCAAGAUGACAAAGCAUCCUCCUCACAACAGCCCAGCACAAUCCACCCUCAUUGUCCACAGGGAGAAACUGAGGCUUGGGUUUCCUCGCUAGUCAGUGGGGAAGAAGGUUCAGGGUGCCCGACUCCAAGCCUGGCGCCCUCGCCACGUUCCUACUCUGCCUUGACAACAUGUCAGCUUCUUUCUCCCGUCUUGCUGUCAGACAGGCCUGGGGAAGAAAGGGACGUAUUGUAGGCUUUAUUUUUUUCUUAAUGAGACACACAAAUCAGCAGCAGUCACUUUGUAGGAGACUUUCAAAGCUCUGGUGGUUUCAAAUCAAAGACGAGGCAGCGAGAACUUAGACUGUUUAAAUAGCAAGGUUAAGAAGAAAGAAAGAAAGAAAAGAAAGCAAUUCCCAAGGAGAAGAAGGUUAGAAAAGAGCCAAAUGUCCCCAAGCACAGAGGGCCAUUCAGGCCUUUGCCCUGCUUCUGCCUCAGCUCAGUGUUCUUCUGUGUGACAAGAGAAGAUGCCUGUUACAGACUCAUCGGCUGCUGGACUGUCCACGUGAAGAAGCCUUGGCCAUCACCUCUCGCCUUGCUCAGUGCCCGACAAUACGCUGUCUGCUGGUGGCAGAGUUGGGUCAUCCAGGCUCACUCACAACCCUCUCUAAAGGGUCAGCUGCCCUAAAGCAUGCCUCACAGGCAGCCCUCCAACCUGAGCUGGCAGACCUCCAGGGAGGGGGACAGAGCCCACUGCUCUCGUUGUGAGGGACUUUGUCCUGACAUCAGAAAUAAAUGAAAUCUUUGCAACUGGCA